AACGGAGCACUACUACCAUAAGGUAAAAACUUAAAUUACAUGGCGGCAAUUACAAAUAUUAGGGGAACUUACCAUUUAAAUGAUAUCCACCACGCAAACUAACUUUAAGUUAAAUUCUGUAUGCCGCCGUCGUCAGGUAAAAUUUAAAACACUUACCGGAAAAUUGUACAUAUAAAAAGACAGGUCAAGGUGCAAACUAUCUUAAAGAUAUGGCGAGUUACAUUAGUAAUUUUCUUCCAUAAAUAUGUAAAUCUUAUUGGUCGGACUUAAAAGUAAGUUAUAAUAAACUUAUUAACUGAAUAAAAAUGUA
rnacentral:rRNA from 1 species